rnacentral:rRNA from 1 species
GGGCGCAAGCCUGAUGCAGCCAUGCCGCGUGUAUGAAGAAGGCCUUCGGGUUGUAAAGUACUUUCAGCAGUGAGGAAGGUGGGUAUGUUAAUAGCAUAUUCAUUUGACGUUAGCUGCAGAAGAAGCACCGGCUAACUCCGUGCCAGCAGCCGCGGUAAUACGGAGGGUGCGAGCGUUAAUCGGAAUUACUGGGCGUAAAGCGCAUGCAGGUGGUUUGUUAAGUCAGAUGUGAAAGCCCGGGGCUCAACCUCGGAAUUGCAUUUGAAACUGGCAAACUAGAGUACUGUAGAGGGGGUAGAAUUUCAGGUGUAGCGGUGAAAUGCGUAGAGAUCUGAAGGAAUACCGGUGGCGAAGGCGGCCCCCUGGACAGAUACUGACACUCAGAUGCGAAAGCGUGGGGAGCAAACAGGAUUAGAUACCCUGGUAG